rnacentral:rRNA from 1 species
AUGAUCUGUAUGAGUGAUCUUGAUGGCAUCCUCUAUGAUGCUGAUAUAUAUAAUGGUAGUGUUAAUUAUUUUCGUAUGUCUACUUUCCGUUCCUUGAUCAAAAACUAUGGGUUCUUUAAAAUUGGUUAUAGUGGUCCUGCUUAUACUUGGCGUAAUAGGCAAUAUACGACUAAUCCUAUUUAUCAACGUUUAGACUGUUGCCUUAUUAAUUCUGAUUGGUGUGCUUACUAUCCUAAUACCAAAGUGCUUAAUUUACCCAUCAUCCUUAGUGAUCAUGCUCCCAUUCUUAUAUCCACUGAUGGUAAUUUCUCUGAACCUAAAAAAACUUUCAAAUUUGAAAAUUGGUGGCUGCUUGAGCAAGAUUUUUAG